GUUAGUUAAUUUAAAUAAUUAACUUACCAUAAUUGUUCAUAUUUGAUGAUUAAUAUUAAUAUAAUAAUUUAAAUAAAACGCGCGUUCGUAACUUUCUUGGAUGACUCCCUGGCCUCGCGCAAGGCUCCCUGUCGUCUCUGAGCGCCUUCGUCUAGUCUUUCUAGGCUCCUUGGACGCAGCGGCGUCCCGAGCGCUUCCCGAGCGGCGGCGCUGUGGCCGGCGGGGCUGCUCGUCGCUGCGCCCCGCACAGGCCGUUCCUCUGCUCUCGGCCGUGCGGUGCCCGGGGCGGAAGCCCUGCAGCUGGAGACUGGCUUCCGCCUGCCAGUGGGCAGGAGGGGCGGCAGGUGGCGGUGGUGCUGGUGGGGAAGGGUGACCGACGUGACCUCUCCUGGAAGGUUUUCAGGAUGCACGUGUUGACUUUUGACUUCCAAGUCCCAAAGCUCGCUUCAGUAGUUCCAGGCGGUUAUGACGGUGGCUCGCUGGCCUGAAUGAUCUUAAUCACGAAAGCACUUGUGUACAGCUUUAUAAUUCGACGUCUGUAUGCACUACACAGCGCUCCCCGCCACCGCCUGCUUCCCACCCUCACCGCGCCGCCCACGCGCGGUGGUCAGCUGGCCGGCCGGCGCGGCGCUGGCUGGUGGCCUCCCCGAGACACGCAGGCACCGAGACUUCCGUGGGGACCGAGGCGUCCGGGUCCUGCCCCUCACUCCUCCCUCUGCUCGUGGCCCUGACGGACCAGGCACAUGGAUUCACCUGUGGAAGCCACAGAACAUUUGUGGCCCAAGAAGAUUCAAGCGACAGCAAAAUGAAGACUAAUCAAGUCAGGGGACGCUUCCUUUUCCUACAACCAGACUCCAGUCCCCCAGAAUCUGUGUUUGUGAAAACUCCAGAGGAAGACAAACAACACUCUCUCCAGUGCUCCCCUCUUGCCUCGUCCCCCUAAAGUCUUUCCAUUUUCUUGCCGUGUCCCCCUGUUCCCUCUGUAGAAGCCAGCACAGUUUCUGCGGCCGGCGAGUGGGCAGGCAGGGGGGCUGACGGGGACAGGGGAAGGCACCUACCUGAGGCUUCCUUCUUGUGAAGAGGACUCGAGGCCUUCCGGCCAUCUGGGACCAGCUCCUCUGGACAAAGAUGGCGGGCCUGGGCUUCCUUUGGCUUGGUGCCGGGUGUAUACAAACACGGACCAAAUGUGUGCCGCUUGGUGGCCGCGGAGCUCCAUGAUGGCUGAGCUGCACCAGCCGAUGCUAUCUGUGAGCCUGUCCUGCGACCGCAAUGGCUCCUCCACGGCAGCAAGCUCGCUCUGAAGUCUCGAAGCUGUGUGGCGGCGGCCAUGGGGCCGUGGGGGAGGUGCCGGGGACAGGAGCCAGCAAUGUGUGAACGCAGGCCUCGGCAGCGAAGGACGUCCUGACUCUUGAGAGAAAAGGGAGAAGUUGCAAUGUCUGAAAAAAUGUUUGGUAACGUUGGCAAAUCUUUCUAAGAUUGUUUGAAGUUACAGUGGCACUUGAUCACAUUUUAAACACAGUAGAUCUCGACUUAAAAUGAGCCCAGGUAAGAACAACACUUUAGAGCAGCAGACUCAGGACGUGAGUAAAAUGCUGCCUUCUGGGGCAUCACCUGGUUGUUUCAGCCAGGAGUCGAGGAGAACUUCAUGAAGGUAGGAAUAAAGGAGGUUCAUCUGCAGUAGGGCGUCAACAGAGCGGCUGCAGACUCAGCUCCCCACGCGCUCUGCCAGCAGGGGCCACGUUUCCCCACGCACUGUGCCAGCGCAGGCCAUGACGCUUGCUGCUCACCGGGGCUGCUCGCGCCACCGGAGCUCUGGCGUCUCGCCGUGGUCAGGCUCGGUGGCAGCAGUGUGCCCACCUUCCUGAGGCAAUCCUAUUCAACUUGACUGAGAGUCUUUCCUGGAAGGAAACUUUGCUCCUUGCUCCUCAAAUCUAAUGCAGUAGAUUUUCGGAAGUUAGGCUCUAUAACAUCACUACGUACUCUGAUUUAGUGACUCCUGUGCCGCUGCCCCUGAGGGAGGUAGAAGGGUGGGUUCGGUGAGAGUCUGGUCACGGCAUUUUCAUCAGCAGAUCCACACACAACCUUGUUUCUUGCGUGUUUCUGUUCAGACACCUUCUUUAAUGCAUAGUGUGGAUUCAGCACCUUUGAGCUCACAGCCUGAACGACAGUCGUCUAGCACGUCUCCUUUUUCCUUGAGGUACAUCCCAGCCCUCUGGCCCUUAGGAAGACCGUACACACUUCAACACUCUGCUUGGGGCCAUUUUAAACAGUGACAUCACCAACAAAAAGCACAAAAAUGCAAAAACAAGGGCACUAGGUAGACUGUGAAACGGACACGUUUACAGCAUGAGAGCUGAACCAAGGAGGUGGAGCAUCAUCUUUCUCAACCUCACCUGAGACCACGUGCACCAGGAGACUCUGCGUUGUUACAGUUCUGCACACGUCCACGAAUGAGCCUGAAAACUCUGAGGACACUGAUUUUGGGGUUACAAAUGAAUUUUAUCGAGUAAGAGAAUUUGCAAAUAUGCAAUCCGUCAAUUAUGAGGAUCGACUAUAUAUUGAUGAAACCAACGUGCAUUUUUAAGCUCUCCUGAUUCUGGGUAAUGAUUAUUAUUUGGUAAUUUAAUUUUUGGUCUUAUGUAAUGUCAAAGCAAAGAUAAUUACCAUUUAAAAAAUUAACUGCAUUUAUACAGUGUUUUGUUAAUAAAGACAGAUGGU
rnacentral:lncRNA from 1 species